UGGGGAAUAGUUUAAUGGUAGAAUGAGCGGCUCUGACCCGCUUAGUCCCGGUUCAAAUCAAGGUUCCCCAGCCA
rnacentral:tRNA from 1 species